AGUGGCGAACGGGUGAGUAAUACAUCGGAACGUGCCCAGUUGUGGGGGAUAGCCCGGCGAAAGCCGGAUUAAUACCGCAUACGACCUACGGGUGAAAGCGGGGGAUCGCAAGACCUCGCGCAAUUGGAGCGGCCGUUGUCAGAUUAGCUUGUUGGUGGGGUAAAAGCCUACCAAGGCGACGAUCUGUAGCUGGUCUGAGAGGACGACCAGCCACACUGGGACUGAGACACGGCCCAGACUCCUACGGGAGGCAGCAGUGGGGAAUUUUGGACAAUGGGCGCAAGCCUGAUCCAGCCAUGCCGCGUGUGGGAAGAAGGCCUUCGGGUUGUAAACCACUUUUGUCAGGGAAGAGACGGUCUGAUCUAAUAAAUCGGACUAAUGACGGUACCUGAAGAAUAAGCACCGGCUAACUACGUGCCAGCAGCCGCGGUAAUACGUAGGGUGCAAGCGUUAAUCGGAAUUACUGGGCGUAAAGCGUGCGCAGGCGGCUAUGCAAGACAGAUGUGAAAUCCCCGGGCUCAACCUGGGACCUGCAUUUGUGACUGCAUGGCUAGAGUACGGUAGAGGGGGAUGGAAUUCCGCGUGUAGCAGUGAAAUGCGUAGAUAUGCGGAGGAACACCGAUGGCGAAGUCAAUCCCGUGGACCUGUACUGACGCUUUU
rnacentral:rRNA from 1 species